CCUACGGGAGGCAGCAGUGGGGAAUAUUGGACAAUGGGCGCAAGCCUGAUCCAGCCAUGCCGCGUGUGUGAAGAAGGCCUUCGGGUUGUAAAGCACUUUUAUCCGGAAAGAAAAGCUUUGGGUUAAUACCCUGAAGUCAUGACGGUACCGGAAGAAUAAGCACCGGCUAACUUCGUGCCAGCAGCCGCGGUAAUACGAAGGGUACAAGCGUUACUCGGAAUUACUGGGCGUAAAGCGUGCGUAGGGUGGUUUGUUAAGGUCUGAUGUGAAAGCCCUAGGCUCAACCUGGGAAUUGCAUUGGAUACUGGCAGGCUAGAGUGCGGUAGAGGAUAGUGGAAUUCCCGGUGUAGCAGUGAAAUGCGUAGAGAUCGGGAGGAACAUCUGUGGCGAAGGCGACUAUCUGGGCCAGCACUGACACUGAGGCACGAAAGCGUGGGGAGCAAACAGGAUUAGAUACCCUGGUAGUCCACGCCCUAAACGAUGCGAACUGGAUGUUGGGUGCAACUAGGCACUCAGUAUCGAAGCUAACGCGUUAAGUUCGCCGCCUGGGGAUCGGUCGCAGACGNGAGACAAGAGAGUGAGNGNGAGAGNGCGAGGACGACGACGAGGGAGAGG
rnacentral:rRNA from 1 species